AAUUAAAAUGACCUCCACAAUGUUGUGUUCUCUUCUACUCUCCAGUGUUACUUUAUGCCAAAUCUACACUGCAGCUAAUAAAUCUGAGCUUUAGGCUAAUUUCUGUGGGUUGGAACUGGUUGAAAGUUGUGAGCACCAAAAACCCUGGAAAGAGUGAAUGAAAACAGUUACGUGAAAACAAAUUAUAUAUUUUUUUUGUGUGUGUGUGUGCACUCAUGGUGGAAAGUCUUCUUGUUCUGUCAUUUUGCUUCUCAGUCUGGGAUAUCAUGGUGGUCUCUGGUUGGUGGUUCCCUUUAAACUGUCGUAUAUAGCACACAUACACAAAGCAGUUCCCACAUUUAGUUUAAUGUACACUGUGAAUGCUGAGGGAUUUGACACCUGGGCAGGUUAAUAUAAACAUAGGCAUAUUUACAUAUAUAAGAAAUGCAGUAAAUCUUAUUUAUCUGAAGUGCAGAGCCAAGUCCAUCUUAAUGAGUCGGGUACUUUUACUUACCAGUCUUUUCUUCCCUUCAGUCAUUAGGAUACAGAUUUAAUAGGACCUUUCUGCUUUUACCGCUGCAUACCACAUGUCUGAAAAGCUACAUUUAAUACCUUUUAUUUCUGCUUUAACUUCAAAUUGUUAAAGAUAGAUCUACAGACAUCUGUUCGUUCUCAUAAAGAGCAAAUAUAUUUCCUUUUAUCCAUGUCAAUGUGUGUAAUUAGUGUAGUGCAGUCCAUUGUCCUCUGGCCCUGGUCAGAAAUCACAGCUGGUUUAAUGGCAGGAGGUUAACCGGUGUGUCUUACGUGUCCCCCACCCUCCCACUGUCUGGGUCAUCUUCUGCCCUGCCAGCUUUACUGCCUACUAUCUCCAGCGCACCACGUCUAAAUAUGUCCCCCUUGUGUGACAAGUAAAUCAGUCCCCUGGCGCUGGCUGGCUCAAAGAGGCACCUAAGGAGGAUAACCCGAAACUAUAAAACGCCACCACAGUCUGACUUUUUAUGGCUGCUAAUGCUGUCUUUAUGUACUGUUGUAUAUGUCAAACCAUUACGAUCAAUAAAUUUUGAUAUAAUCUGGUCUAGUUGGUUGAUUUAACUGAUCUUGAGCAGUUUCUUUUUUGAUUUAAAUGCUUUAGAGAAGAUUGCUUUGCUUUAUGGUCAAACAAGGGAAAGGUUAGGGUGGGUCUUAAUGAACAUACGUAGGCUACACCUUCUUUAAAGGACGUUAACAGAUGUCUGUCCUUCCAAAUGUUGUGGACAAACAUAUACGGUCUUUCUUAUUCUCUCAGUUUCAUUCACUUUGUUGUACUUUAAUCACUCUGGGGAUGAAAUAAGGGGAAGCAGAAUAAGGACAAGUUGUUUAGUCGCUUGUUUACACUCAGUGUUCCACUGCCACAUUAUGAAAUAUUUAUCCCCUUUGGCUCAUUAAUCUAUUCAUGACUGCUUUUCUUCUGAAUCAAAGCACAUGAAAGAAUCAUAAGUAGGUGGUCUAGUGCCCACCACCUGACAGCAGGGAUCCUCAUGUAUGACUUCACCCAUUGUCCCAAAUAGACGAAAAAAGUUAGAGUAAAACAUAUGAUGUCAUUUAAAGUUAUCUCAUUUAAAUUAAAGCCCCUUUCAGAGUCGAAUCCCAUGGCAAAAGUCAGACCGUGGUAAAUUCUGUUUUAUAUACUUUCAAAUAGUGUUUAAUACAGAACGCUUAAAUGUUUCAAUAUGGCUGGAGCAUUGGAUGAAUUGGGUCUGCUUUUCUUCCCUGGUCGCCAUGCGUAAAGUUAUGAAGAGGUAACCACAGCAUGGUAGUUUGCCAAAGUAAUUUUCUGUGGAGGAAUGUAUGGGAAAAUUAGCAUGGAGGAACCCUACUGUUUAAGUGAUUAUUCAACAUUAGGGUUGGGAUAUCCUGCUGCUGCCUUGCAGGGCCUGGACAUUUGGUCACUUGUGGUCACAUACAUACUUACUCAGUAUUGUCUUUGCAUGUCGUAGAAUCGAGGCAGAGGACUAGGAAGGAGGAAGUCAACAGUAUGAAGAAAUAUUGCCAAAAAGUAGCCACAUGCAACUUCAUAAUAAUUCAAAUAAAAUGAUUUAAUUGUAAAAUGGAUUUGUAAUAAUUUAUCUCAUAUAAAUGAAUGAAGUCAGGCUGCAAUAUUUGAAUGCGUCAACCCCAUCAGUGAAACAAGGAGUCUUUUACUUCUGAUUUGUGGGAGACUUGUUGUUCUUACUUAAUUAUUUCUGGUUGGUGGAGCUAACUGCAGGCUCUCAGGACUUUGGGAAGUGAGGUUUCAGUACAAUGGAAAGAGCAAACUACUGUAGGAUGGAUGGAUUGGUAGAAAGAUAACUAUAAGUAUUUUGCUACUUUCAAACUAUGGAAAAAUUUGAAUCAGUAAUAAUAACAUGGUUUAUGCUGUACUCCAGAAAUGAACAAAAGCUGCAUCUGUUUCCUGUGUAGGCUACAUCAUUUGAUCAACGCCAUUCUGCAACUAAAAUACUACUAACAGCAUGCUAACAUGCUCUUGAUGAGGAGCACGAUGAUGAAAAUAGCCAACGACCUGCACCUGCAUCUCGUCAGCCACCUCGUCAGCCUGCCACACCUGCCUGUAGUCAACCUCAUCCCUGCCUGUAUUUCAACCCCGGGUCUCCACACCAUUCUUGCUUGAUCGUCGUUGCUCCAUACCCGGUGCCGCAAGUCCCUCAAGCGCUUGAAAUCACUGACGAUCCUCACAUUUCUCCAGUUCUUAUUUCUUACCUCCGCUGUCACUAACCCUGUCUCUUUGUCUGUUUUCCUCCCAGGUUCACUCACCCUCGUCCUCCGUUCAGUCAGCUGGGCUCAUCCUCCGGUCCCGUCCCCCCCCGGCGUCCUCCCUGUUCUCCCUGUUCUCCCUCUCUUCGUCGGACCCUGUGUUCCCCGGCCCUCUAGUCCCAGUCUCCUCGGUUCCCCGUGCCAGUGUUUCCCCGGCAUCCACCUCUCCCUCGACUCCAGUCCCUCACCCCCUUUUCCCAAUAAAACCUGUCAAAACUGAA